CGUUGAAACACCGGUUGCCAUAUGAUCACCGAAAUUAAGCAACAUCGAGCCUGGCCAGUACCUAGAUGGGUGACCACUUGG